rnacentral:rRNA from 1 species
GACGAACGCUGGCGGCGCGCCUAACACAUGCAAGUCGAACGAGAGAUGAGGAGCUUGCUCUUCAGAUCGAGUGGCGAACGGGUGAGUAACGCGUGAGGAACCUGCCUCAAAGAGGGGGACAACAGUUGGAAACGACUGCUAAUACCGCAUAAGCCCACGGCUCGGCAUCGAGCAGGGGAAAGGAGCAAUCCGCUUUGAGAUGGCCUCGCGUCCGAUUAGCUAGUUGGUGAGGUAACAGCCCACCAAGGCGACGAUCGGUAGCCGGACUGAGAGGUUGAACGGCCACAUUGGGACUGAGACACGGCCCAGACUCCUACGGGAGGCAGCAGUGGGGAAUAUUGCACAAUGGGGGAAACCCUGAUGCAGCGACGCCGCGUGGAGGAAGAAGGUCUUCGGAUUGUAAACUCCUGUUGUUGAGGAAGAUAAUGACGGUACUCAACAAGGAAGUGACGGCUAACUACGUG